GACGAACGCUGGCGGCGUGCCUAAUACAUGCAAGUUGAGCGCUGAAGGUUGGUACUUGUACCAACUGGAUGAGCAGCGAACGGGUGAGUAACGCGUGGGGAAUCUGCCUUUGAGCGGGGGACAACAUUUGGAAACGAAUGCUAAUACCGCAUAAAAACUUUAAACACAAGUUUUAAGUUUGAAAGAUGCAAUUGCAUCACUCAAAGAUGAUCCCGCGUUGUAUUAGCUAGUUGGUGAGGUAAAGGCUCACCAAGGCGAUGAUACAUAGCCGACCUGAGAGGGUGGUCGGCCACAUUGGGACUGAGACACGGCCCAAACUCCUACGGGAGGCAGCAGUAGGGAAUCUUCGGCAAUGGACGAAAGUCUGACCGAGCAACGCCGCGUGAGGGAAGAAGGGUGUCGGAUCGUAAAACUCGGUUGGUAGAGAAGAACGUUGGUGAGAGUGGAAAGCUCAUCAAGUGACGGUAACUACCCAGAAAGGGACGGCUAACUACGUG
rnacentral:rRNA from 1 species